GAGUUUGAUCAUGGCUCAGAUUGAACGCUGGCGGCAUGCCUUACACAUGCAAGUCGAACGGCAGCACGGGUGCUUGCACCUGGUGGCGAGUGGCGAACGGGUGAGUAAUACAUCGGAACAUGUCCUGUAGUGGGGGAUAGCCCGGCGAAAGCCGGAUUAAUACCGCAUACGAUCUACGGAUGAAAGCGGGGGACCUUCGGGCCUCGCGCUAUAGGGUUGGCCGAUGGCUGAUUAGCUAGUUGGUGGGGUAAAGGCCUACCAAGGCGACGAUCAGUAGCUGGUCUGAGAGGACGACCAGCCACACUGGGACUGAGACACGGCCCAGACUCCUACGGGAGGCAGCAGUGGGGAAUUUUGGACAAUGGGCGAAAGCCUGAUCCAGCAAUGCCGCGUGUGUGAAGAAGGCCUUCGGGUUGUAAAGCACUUUUGUCCGGAAAGAAAUCCUUGGCUCUAAUACAGUUGGGGGAUGACGGUACCGGAAGAAUAAGCACCGGCUAACUACGUGCCAGCAGCCGCGGUAAUACGUAGGGUGCGAGCGUUAAUCGGAAUUACUGGGCGUAAAGCGUGCGCAGGCGGUUUGCUAAGACCGAUGUGAAAUCCCCGGGCUCAACCUGGGAACUGCAUUGGUGACUGGCAGGCUAGAGUAUGGCAGAGGGGGGUAGAAUUCCACGUGUAGCAGUGAAAUGCGUAGAGAUGUGGAGGAAUACCGAUGGCGAAGGCAGCCCCCUGGGCCAAUACUGACGCUCAUGCACGAAAGCGUGGGGAGCAAACAGGAUUAGAUACCCUGGUAGUCCACGCCCUAAACGAUGUCAACUAGUUGUUGGGGAUUCAUUUCCUUAGUAACGUAGCUAACGCGUGAAGUUGACCGCCUGGGGAGUACGGUCGCAAGAUUAAAACUCAAAGGAAUUGACGGGGACCCGCACAAGCGGUGGAUGAUGUGGAUUAAUUCGAUGCAACGCGAAAAACCUUACCUACCCUUGACAUGGUCGGAAUCCCGCUGAGAGGUGGGAGUGCUCGAAAGAGAACCGGCGCACAGGUGCUGCAUGGCUGUCGUCAGCUCGUGUCGUGAGAUGUUGGGUUAAGUCCCGCAACGAGCGCAACCCUUGUCCUUAGUUGCUACGCAAGAGCACUCUAAGGAGACUGCCGGUGACAAACCGGAGGAAGGUGGGGAUGACGUCAAGUCCUCAUGGCCCUUAUGGGUAGGGCUUCACACGUCAUACAAUGGUCGGAACAGAGGGUUGCCAACCCGCGAGGGGGAGCUAAUCCCAGAAAACCGAUCGUAGUCCGGAUUGCACUCUGCAACUCGAGUGCAUGAAGCUGGAAUCGCUAGUAAUCGCGGAUCAGCAUGCCGCGGUGAAUACGU
rnacentral:rRNA from 1 species